GACGAACGCUGGCGGCGUGCUUAACACAUGCAAGUCGAACGGAAAGGCCCUGCGUUUGUGGGGUGCUCGAGUGGCGAACGGGUGAGUAACACGUGAGUAACCUGCCCUUGACUUUGGGAUAACUUCAGGAAACUGGGGCUAAUACCGGAUAGGAGCUCCUGCUGCAUGGUGGGGGUUGGAAAGUUUCGGCGGUUGGGGAUGGACUCGCGGCUUAUCAGCUUGUUGGUGGGGUAGUGGCUUACCAGGGCUUUGACGGGUAGCCGGCCUGAGAGGGUGACCGGCCACAUUGGGACUGAGAUACGGCCCAGACUCCUACGGGAGGCAGCAGUGGGGAAUAUUGCACAAUGGGCGGAAGCCUGAUGCAGCAACGCCGGGUGCGGGAUGACGGCCUUCGGGUUGUAAACCGCUUUCGCCUGUGACGAAGCGUGAGUGACGGUAAUGGGUAAAGAAGCACCGGCUAACUACGUG
rnacentral:rRNA from 1 species